UACGAAGGGGGCUAGCGUUGCUCGGAAUCACUGGGCGUAAAGGGUGCGUAGGCGGGUUUUUAAGUCAGAGGUGAAAUCCUGGAGCUCAACUCCAGAACUGCCUUUGAUACUGAAAGUCUUGAGUAUGGGAGAGGUGAGUGGAACUGCGAGUGUAGAGGUGAAAUCGUAGAUAUUCGCAAGAACACCAGUGGCGAAGGCGGCUCACUGGCCCGGUACUGACGCUGAGGUGCGAAAGCGUGGGGGAGCAAACAGG
rnacentral:rRNA from 1 species